AGAGUUUGAUCCUGGCUCAGGAUGAACGCUGGCGGCGUGCCUAACACAUGCAAGUCGAGCGAUUUACUUCGGUAAAGAGCGGCGGACGGGUGAGUAACGCGUGGGUAACCUGCCUCAUACACAUGGAUAACAUACCGAAAGGUAUGCUAAUACAAGAUGAUAUAAGAGAUUCGCAUGGAUUUCUUAUCAAAGCUCCGGCGGUAUGAGAUGGACCCGCGUCUGAUUAGCUAGUUGGUAAGGUAACGGCUUACCAAGGCGACGAUCAGUAGCCGACCUGAGAGGGUGAUCGGCCACAUUGGAACUGAGACACGGUCCAAACUCCUACGGGAGGCAGCAGUGGGGAAUAUUGCACAAUGGGCGAAAGCCUGAUGCAGCAACGCCGCGUGAGUGAUGAAGGCCUUCGGGUCGUAAAGCUCUGUCCUCAGGGAAGAUAAUGACGGUACUUGAGGAGGAAGCCCCGGCUAACUACGUGCCAGCAGCCGCGGUAAUACGUAGGGGGCUAGCGUUAUCCGGAUUUACUGGGCGUAAAGGGUGCGUAGGUGGUUUCUUAAGUCAGGAGUGAAAGGCUACGGCUUAACCGUAGUAAGCUCUUGAAACUGGGAAACUUGAGUGCAGGAGAGGAAAGUGGAAUUCCUAGUGUAGCGGUGAAAUGCGUAGAUAUUAGGAGGAACACCAGUAGCGAAGGCGGCUUUCUGGACUGUAACUGACACUGAGGCACGAAAGCGUGGGGAGCAAACAGGAUUAGAUACCCUGGUAGUCC
rnacentral:rRNA from 1 species